UACAGAGGGUGCGAGCGUUUGUCCGGAAUCACUGGGCGUAAAGGGCGCGUAGGUGGCGAGCCAAGUCCAUGGUGAAAGCUCGAUGCUCAACAUCGAGUCGGCCACGGAUACUGGUGCGCUUGAGCACUGUAGAGGCUAAUGGAAUUCCGGGUGUAGCGGUGGAAUGCGUAGAGAUCCGGAAGAACACCGGUGGCGAAGGCGGUUAGCUGGGCAGUUGCUGACACUGAGGCGCGACAGCGUGGGGAGCAAACAGG
rnacentral:rRNA from 1 species